CGGAGUUUACUGUGUAGAGAGAAUUGCGAGCGAUAAAUUUAGUUAGCACUCGUGUUCGGAUGAGAGGAAUUGCGAAGAAAGUUGCAGACGGAUUUGCGGGAUGGCAUAGUUUUUCAUCACCCCCAACUUUGAAGAGAUUUGAAGGGAUUGUGACUGAAAUGUCACGUAUACCCUCAACCUAUUAUACAUUUCCCAGCUUUAACACCAUGCCAUCACCUACCC
rnacentral:lncRNA from 1 species